UGGUCGGCAGUUCACCCAGGCGUUGCCGCGCGACACCCUCGCGAGCUAAACCUGCCU
rfam:Burkholderiales bacterium RIFCSPHIGHO2_12_FTLL_69_20 rifcsphigho2_12_scaffold_3074, whole genome shotgun sequence.